UACGUAGGUGGCAAGCGUUGUCCGGAAUUAUUGGGCGUAAAGCGCGCGCAGGCGGCCUCUUAAGUCUGAUGUGAAAGCCCCCCGGCUCAACCGGGGAGGGCCAUUGGAAACUGGGAGGCUUGAGUAUAGGAGAGAAGAGUGGAAUUCCACGUGUAGCGGUGAAAUGCGUAGAGAUGUGGAGGAACACCAGUGGCGAAGGCGACUCUUGGCCUAUAACUGACGCUGAGGCGCGAAAGCGUGGGGAGCAAACAGG
rnacentral:rRNA from 1 species